CCUACGGGUGGCAGCAGUGGGGAAUUUUGGACAAUGGGCGCAAGCCUGAUCCAGCCAUUCCGCGUGCAGGAUGAAGGCCUUCGGGUUGUAAACUGCUUUUGUACGGAACGAAACGGCGAGCUCUAAUACAGUUUGCUAAUGACGGUACCGUAAGAAUAAGCACCGGCUAACUACGUGCCAGCAGCCGCGGUAAUACGUAGGGUGCAAGCGUUAAUCGGAAUUACUGGGCGUAAAGCGUGCGCAGGCGGUUAUAUAAGACAGAUGUGAAAUCCCCGGGCUCAACCUGGGAACUGCAUUUGUGACUGUAUGGCUAGAGUACGGCAGAGGGGGAUGGAAUUCCGCGUGUAGCAGUGAAAUGCGUAGAUAUGCGGAGGAACACCGAUGGCGAAGGCAAUCCCCUGGGCCUGUACUGACGCUCAUGCACGAAAGCGUGGGGAGCAAACAGGCUUAGAUACCCCAGUAGUC
rnacentral:rRNA from 1 species